ACACACACACACACACACACACAGGAGAGGCCAUGAUGACCUGGGGGAUCAUUACCUGGACUGUGGAGACCUCAGUAAUGCCCUGAAGUGCUACUCCAGAGCCAGAGACUACUGCACCAGUGCCAAGCAUGUCAUUAACAUGUGUCUAAAUGUCAUCAAGGUUAGUGUCUACCUCCAGAACUGGUCUCAUGUUCUGAGCUACGUCAACAAAGCAGAAUCCACGCCAGAGAUAGCCGAGCAAAGAGGAGAGCGAGAUAGCCAAAAUCAAGCGGUCCUCACCAAAUUAAAGUGUGCUGCAGGUAAGACAGCAUUGUACAAUCUUAGUAAGUAGUUGUUUCAGAGGAUAUAGAGGGGUUGAGUGAUGUCAUAUUUUUCUAGGACAACCCAAGAGUUAGCAUCACAAGGGCUCCCUGGAAUAGAAUCAAUGAGAUGUUUCCAUUAGAUUUCAGAAUAUUGCAGAAAAUACUAAUUUUGGCAAAACCAUGUUUUUGAUACUUACACAUUUUAUUCCGAAAGGCAAGUUUAUUUAUACUGCAC